CACGUAGGGCGCAAGCGUUGUCCGGAAUUAUUGGGCGUAAAGAGCUCGUAGGCGGUCUGUUACGUCUGCUGUGAAAACCCGGGGCGUUAACCCUGGGCUUGCAGUGGAUACGGGCAGACUAGAGGCAGGUAGGGGAGAAUGGAAUUCCCGGUGUAGCGAUGAAAUGCGCAGAUAUCGGGAGGAACACCGGUGGCGAAGGCGGUUCUCUGGGCCUGACCUGACGCUGAGGAGCGAAAGCGUGGGGAGCGAACAGG
rnacentral:rRNA from 1 species